rnacentral:tRNA from 1 species
CGGGGCGUAGCGCAGCCUGGUAGCGCACCUGAAUGGGGUUCAGGUGGUCGCCCGUUCAAAUCGGGCCGCCCCGACCU